UACGUAGGGGGCGAGCGUUAUCCGGAUUUACUGGGUGUAAAGGGAGCGUAGACGGCGUCGCAAGUCUGAAGUGAAAGCCCGUGGCUCAACCGCGGAAUCGCUUUGGAAACUGCGAGGCUGGAGUGCUGGAGAGGUAAGCGGAAUUCCUGGUGUAGCGGUGAAAUGCGUAGAUAUAUGGAAGAACACCAGUGGCGAAGGCGGCCGCCUGGCCUGUUACUGACGCUGAGGCACGAAAGCGUGGGGAGCGAACAGG
rnacentral:rRNA from 1 species